GAUGAACGCUGGCGGCGUGCUUAACACAUGCAAGUCGAGCGAGAAGUUUUGAAAAGAUUCUUCGGAUGAAAUUUAAAAUGGAAAGCGGCGGACGGGUGAGUAACGCGUAGGCAACCUGCCCCAUACAAAGGGAUAGCAUUUGGAAACGAAUAUUAAUACCUUAUGAAACUUAACUAGUGCAUGCUAGGUAGGUCAAAGAUUUAUCGGUAUGGGAUGGGCCUGCGUCUGAUUAGCUAGUUGGUGAGGUAACGGCUCACCAAGGCGACGAUCAGUAGCCGACCCACGAGGGUGAGCGGCAGCAGGGGAACAUAGCGACGAGCGAAACACCACCGGGAGCCAGAAGGGGGGGAGAACGAAAAAUGGGGGUGACCCUUAACGUGCUAUGCUAUGUGAUAAAAGCAGGCCGUAGCGGCGUAAAGUCCCCUUCCAAGUGACGUGAACGGAGCGGAACUAAUGAAAAAGCCCCCACUCACUCCAUG
rnacentral:rRNA from 1 species